CUCUCCGACUCUCUCUGUUUUGCUAUGCCCUGGAAUGGCAUAGUAUGGACCUAUACCGUGUGGUUCGUAUUGCGUAGAACCAGUCACUGGCUGGUACGCCCUCUGGUAUUGACUCAACGAACCUUGAUUAUAAGCAUGCGAAACUUCAAUGAAAGCGUUCGAGACUUGAAACUAAGAGUCCCUUGCAUGUCAUUCCCCCAAAAGAAGUGCCAAGAUUUAGAACUUUCUGCUGAUUUCAGCAAGGCAUGUGCCCUUUCCUGCCGCAUCUACAUGUGUUCAAAAGCAACACAUCUAGAGUAUCCAAGUAGCACAAAUAAUGAUGACAAUCUAACAGUGGUGAAAGUGGUACUUUCUUUGACGAGGAGAAGGAAAACAAGUGAUUGAAAUGAAGUUGAUUCCCUAAAUCACGCUCGAGCAUAAAAGUAUGUGCUGGGAUGACCUUUUUUGAAGCCCAUUUCCUCUCUCAGUUCAGCCCCACCCACAAGCCCACCCUCUCCAAUGUUCCCUGUGUAACAAAAAUUGGUACACAAUGUGACUAUUUUCUAUGACUAUAACUAUAUUCAAGCAAACAGACACAGAUGUGUUGUUGCACAUUGCUGAAACAUAAUCGUGAACUAACCAAUCCAAUCUUAUGAUAAGAUUCGCAAUAUGUUUAUUAUCAGAUGUCAUCAAGACUUCAAUAAGAAUCACUUAAAAUCUGUAAAUAUAUCUCGUAUUUAAAGAAAAGAUGAUACUUUUGUUCCGACACUGGCACUCAACAGGUUCAAUCCAUUGGUAUGACAGCCUUAGUAUUUUAAAAUCUUAACAACUGAUAUUUUUUUUUGAGACAUUUUUUGUCUUGUAAAAUUAUUGUUGCAGUUAUAUGUCCAAAACUGUUAGCGUUGUUUUUUUUAAAGACAAAAGCUUCUUUUUAGAUUUUACGAAGUUCUGAUCUGCUUGUAUUGGAAAAUUUCUUUCUGCAGCCACCUAGCCAUUUUGAUGAGCUACCAGAUGAUUCUGAUCCAAGUGGAAAAUUUCCAGGUUCGUUUGAUGAUGGGGAUCCUCAAACCACAAACUUGUAUGUUGGGAACCUCUCACCAAAGGUCUGAUUAUGCUCUCAUUUCUUGUUUAGUUUACAAGUUUUUUGUUUUUUAUUGGUUUAAGGGACUGACCAACUGUCGCACCAUUAUGAAUCAUGUUAGGUGGAUGAAAAUUUUCUUUUGAGAACAUUUGGGAGGUUUGGACCCAUUGCUAGUGUGAAGAUAAUGUGGCCUCGAACCGAGGAGGAAAGGCGGAGGCAAAGAAAUUGUGGCUUUGUUGCUUUCAUGAACAGAGCUGAUGCACAAGCUGCCAAGGAUGAAAUGCAAGGUUUGCUGACCUUUUGACCUAUUGACAUUAAUGAUGUACUAAGUGUUAUAUACUGCUACUAAUUGGCAUUUAAUGGGGUUAUGACUUAAAUAAUGAGGGAGUUUCUUUUUAACUCAUUUCAAAGGGCUUUCGUUGCGUACAGGGAUUGGUUGUGAUUUGGGAUCCACAAAGCCAAUGGCAUUACAAAUCAUUGUGAACUAGCAACUAGUGAAAAGUUUUUGCUAAAGAUAAUUUUAGUUAUUUUGUACAUUUGACAUACAUAGCAUUUUAUGAUCAUCUUUCAGAAUAGUCAAAUAUCCUUGUUGUACUCUCUGCUUUGCAGAAAGUUUAUAAGAAUCUUGAGAAAACUUCUUGUUCUCUUGCAUAUGAGAUGUCACAAGUUUUAUUUUUGUAAAUAGUAAUAUGAGAUUUUUAUAUUAAGUGAUUAACAAAUAGAAUGAAGAAAAACCUCACAUGAUGAGGAAAAGAGAAUGGAUUUUGUAUAAUAACCAUGAAGUUAGUACCAACCCAAUCCUCAUGCUUAUAAACAUUGUUGUUAAAUGUUGCCACGUGAACAUUUGGGAAUGAUAUUGCUUAUUUUUUUAAAGUUGGCAUGCCCUUAAAAAUGACCAUGAUCAAACUUGCUCCUGUUAAACAAACUCUCAAUCUCUACUACUUUUAUAUUUCCUAUGCCUUUUUCUGCUGUUGAAUUGUGCUGGUCUUUAUAUGCAAUAAUCUUUUAUUUGACAUCGGUCUAUACUUCGAGUCCCAAUAGCAGUGCUUGAUGAUUUUCUAUAGUUUCACAUCAUUAAUUAAAUGAUCUGUAUUAUGGUUGGACAUGAUUCUAUGCUUAAUUUUUGCACAAAAUUUGUAUGGAUUAUGUCACCUCUGCAGGGUGAUAUAAAAUGUGUCUUUAUAUUUAAGCUCCAUGUUUUUAAGUAAUAAUCUCUAAAUAAGGAAAUUGAGUUGGUGGAUAAGGCCAAUAAAAAGGAGGUAUGAUUCAUUGACUAUAGCCACUUGUCAGAAAAAGUCUCUGGAUAAAAAGUCUCAUUGAAUGUUUCGGUUUUUGUGUAGAAAGCUAUACUUCUUGAUUUCUUAAUGUUUCAUUGAACUCUUUUUUUGAUUUUUUUAAAAAAUUGAUCCUUUAAUUUUAGAAAUCUGCUCAUUCUUUAUCCUUAUUUUUUUCUUUUUCAGUCUAUUAGCAUCCUCCUUGAACAAGAUUAUAUGAAGAGGGCUUAGUAACAAUACUAAAUAAUUUCUCCUGUAACUGUAUUUACACCUCUGGUUGUUUACCUAUUCACUCUCCUAAGCUUCCAUGUGAGACAUCCCUCUUGCACUACUUGAAUUUCUAGAUGCUGUGUGCAUGCUCCUAUAAUUGUGCACUACUCUUUUUGAUUUUCUCCCAUAAUGUCUAAUAUUUUUGGAUUCCUGUUCUAGUUACAUAUAUUUUCGCUGUAUCUUACUGAUACUACUAAUUAUCAUAUGCUGCAUAUGUAGUAAUUUCUAGGUUUUUAGUGGCUUUAUAUUUUUUUUAAGAAUUAAUAACAUAUCUAAUUUGGAAGUUUCUUACUACUUCUCUGAUUUGAGGAUGCGUCUUAGUGCAACAGUAAGAUUGCUUUAUUGUAAUCUUAGUGUCACGGGUUUGAAAUAGAAAAACAACACCUCCAUAUGUGCGAGUAAGGCUAUGUACAUUUGACCCUCCCUAGACACUCCAGUGACUGGAGCCUCGUGCACUAAGACACCUUUUUUAAAUCUCUUACCACCUCUCUUUGCAAUAUCAUAUCCAUUUUCACCCUCAAAUUUACUACCUGAACUUUUGGUCACUCGUUAAUUGAAUUGUUCUUCAGGGUUUGCUUACAUAACAUGUUUGCUUGGCAAGCGUGGAUUGUUGAACCGGCCUGAACCAGGUGGUUCGGCUUGUAUGAAAUCAUAUCGAGACCGGCCCGAGACAGUUCAGCCUCUUGGGUUAGUUCACCCCUAGUUUAUAAAAGCCCUCCCCAGAGUCUCUGUUUAGACAGCCCUCCCAAGGGUUUCACUUGUUUGCUUGUUGGAGGGUUUCACGCUUGUCUUGCCCUCGCUGACUGCUGCAAUCGCCCCUAGGUAAGUCCCUCUGACUCCCCCUCUCCCUCCCCCUCCCUCUCCAAGGAUUCAAGAUUAAGGCCUCUCUCCCCCUGUCCCUCCAUCUCUCUAUCUCUUUCUCUCCCGCAUCCUCGGUGGCCCUCCUCCUCGGAUUCUGGCACCUCUCUCUCUCUCUCUUCNNNNNNNNNNNNNNNNNNNNCCUCUCUCUCUCUCUCUUCCUCUCCUCCCUCCUCUCUCUCUCUCUUCCUCUCCCUCCCUUCCCACUUUCUCUCUUCUUCUCCCUCUCCUUAUUUUCGGUACGCCCCAGAAUGCUCUGUACCGCAACAAAUCAAUCACCGGCUGGUACAAACUCCAAUAUUGGAUCGGCGAACCUUGUUGUCAAGUAUUCUACAGAUAAGAAUUUUGUCUAGAACUAAUCAGUUCCUUGUUACUAUGAUUUCUCUUGUACCAAUUUAUUUUGCCCCACUUUGACCCCUUCAAAAAAGGAAUCAUUUUUAAUCCUUUACCAUCUGAGAUGUCUGCAAGCUCUCUUUGCACUUCUUGGGAAUACCAGGAACUCAGGGCAGAGAAUAGUAUAGCAAAUAGGAAGGGAAACAUUUAUGUUAACCUUUUAGAUCAUGCCUGUUGAAUGUGUACUUCGUUAUUAAAGUGCCCAACUAUUAUUGUGUCCCUUUUAUUUCUCUCCACCAAUGCUUUAGUCGGUAAUUCAGUAAUAUAUACCUCUCACUUUUGUAUGUUAACAAACUAGCAUUUUGUACUUCAAUUUGUUUUCCAUCAUGGAUUCUUAGUCUUCCAAAUUCCCUUUUAUCUUACUGACAUGUGUCAGUGCUAGGUUAAGCUAAUGAUAUGUGGCUGCAGUGAUCUCUUCUUUGUUCAAUUCACAUUUGCAUUUCCUGGCAUUUGUAUUUGGCAGAAAAUGGAUGGUUUAAAUGCACAAACCCUGUUUUGGCCCUUUGGUAUGCAUGCUAGGUGACAAGUUCUUUAUCGAUGUUUCUUAGUGUUCUUUCUCAAUGUUUACAUAUAUGCAAGGAGCAGCUUUUGUUACUCGUUGACUUUAAAUGACAUCCUUCAUUGGUUGCACUGCAUUUUGCUGAAAUCAUCUAGGCCCCAGGUUGAAUAUGAGUUUCUAUUUUCUAGGUCGAAUUGUGUACUAAAAUUUGUUUAUUUCAGGUGUAGUUGUUUAUGAAUAUGAGUUGAAGCUUGGAUGGGGUAAAUCUGUGGCUCUUCCAUCCCAGGCAUUGCCUGCUCCCCCACCUGGUCACAUGGCCAUCAGAAAUAAGGAGGUCUGUUGACUUUCUUCUGUGCUCGUUAUAUGUACCUUUUCUUUUUUUAAUUGAAAAAGAGAGAGUUUCUAUUAGUUAAUUGUUUUUGUUAGAUUACAUGUAUUUUUUAGCUUUUGGAAAACAGAUUUAUUCUUUGAAGUAUUUUGUUCUUCGUUUUUAUUUUUCACUUCACUCAUGUGGGGUUUACCUAUCAUUUAAUGACACUAUUUUUCAUUAUGGUAAAUGGCAGGGUGGUACUGUGAUUAUAUCUGGCCCUGAUGGUGCAGCAGUUACUUCUGUUACAAAUCAAAACUCCGAGUUGGUAUGUUACUUGAUUUAUUGAGAAAAACAUCAUUCAGCCUUUACUUUUCAAUGUUGAAAUGUAAUUAUUGCAAGACUAACAGUUACUCUUCUUGAUUAAUAGCCAAUUUUAUGAAAUGAAUCUUAUUUUUUUACAAAAAUAUGGAAACAAUGUACAGCAAUCUUGUUUGGUUAUUUUUUUAUAAUAUUCUUUAGGUAAUAAUUUAUAGUCUGUUGCAACUAAGUUACAUAAACCUUUUAAUCCAGUUUUUUUUUUCAGUUCAGUUGACAUUUAAAUUUUAGGUCAUCUACUUAAAUUUUUGAAAUUGUAUGAUGUGAAUUGGCCAUGUAGUCUGUGGGCACAGGCUAUGCUAUUUCAGAUUAACACGGAAUACAGAUUAGUCCCAACAUAUGGGUUUGCAGAAGUCAAGAUAGUAGGGCUUCAGCAGCACAAGAUGACAAAAUAAGAAAGAGGUAGAAUGGAAUCCAUUUGAACUAAGUGAAUGUAAAAUUUGCUAGAAAUUUCAGCUGGAUAUAUUAUGAAAAUUGUGGCUGUAAUUACAUCUGGAUAUUAAAACACUUAAAUCUAACCAAAACACAACCCUUAAUGAGAAUAAGGUGUCGAUGAACUGAUGAUAGAAUUGAUGGAUGGAAAUUAAUAUGUCCAGUCUAUGUUAGUGAAGUGCUUUAUUUGACCAAGUCACUUGAGAGCAUAAAAUCUUGAAGUUUGAACGUCUAACUCGACAAUGCGCUCAUAUGUCUUGGUCUGGCCCCUAUAUCCUGGGUUCAGCACAAAGUUUUCCCUAAAAUAGAAAUUAAACCUCCUGUUAUUACUAAAGGUCUGAUUUUCGGCUUUCACUAAUUUAUUUCUGUGAUAUUUAUCUUAUGACCUUGUAACUCUUGUAUCCAUGGUUUGCCGUACCGGUAGGCCGGUACGUACCGGUCCGGCAUGGAAUCCGGUACCGGUAGUUUAUUGUUGAAGAACUAGUACAGGACUGGUUCGGAUCGGUAUGGGACCGGUCCGGGCUGCCACUGGUACGCCGACCGGCACUGGUACGGCGGACCUUGUAUCCCCUGGAUUGUCAAAACUUGAUUGGAGCGUCCGCAAGAUCAUGGAGAAUUUUUUUUGGGCCUAUAGUUAAUGGCUAUUUUGCUAAAAUUUGCAGAAAAUUUUUCUAGCAUGUAGAUAUGCUCAUCUUUUUGUUUUGGAGAUACUUGCAAUGAUUUUUAAUGUAUUGGAAGUGAAUAGUUAACUUGUCAAUUUAUAUGUCCAACUGCUGGGUAAAGGUUGUCUAUUAUAAUAUUUAUUCAUUGCUCCAUAUAAUCAGAGAUAUAUAGUAAUACAACUGCUUGCUUAAUUGAGAACUAAGGUCUAACACCUACUUGAUGGUCAUGAUCAGCAAAAAAUGGAGGUGAAUAAUCACGAUUGGUUGCUCAGCUGGCUGGCUGCUUGCAUGCUGUUGCUUAGUUCCUAAACCGUGGCGGACAAUCCUUAGCAAAAGGAUGCUACUGCCUCUUUGAGGACUUCUUGUCAAUAGCAUAUACUUCAAAUUUUCACAUUCUAUGCCUUAUAGCUGUUUAGUCCUUUUAUUCUUGUGAGAUGGAAAUGCAAGAUGAGUAGCAGCAAUUUUUUUCCUUGUGCUUCUUGGAGGCCAUGAAAAUAUAACACAUCAAUGUUCGUUUCUGAAAUCAGGGCAGAUAUAUUUUCCAGAUAAAAAAGGGAUAUGGCGGUCAGCUUAGUUGAUUAAGAGCAUCUAUUAUUAUCACUCUAUGAUAAUAAAUUGGGUUAGUUUUAGUUGACUUUCUUUUCCUGUAUACUAGAAUAAAGGUGAUGCUCAUAACUGCACCAAUUAUAAUCAAAGGAAAGCAUAUAAGGUGCUCAAUGAGGUAGUGGAACAUAUAUGAGCUGCUCAGUGAGGUAGUGGAACAUAAAAUGUUACAAUCUCCAGGAACCAAUUUGCUUUAAUACCCAGGUAGGUAACAAUUUGAUUUCUCUCCCUUGGGAAGUUGUUGACCAGUAGAGAAGACAAUGCAUUACACAUGUUCUUAUCAACUGGAAGAAAACUUUUGAUUGAGCACCACGGCAUGUGAUUUUAAGAUGUAUAAGUUAGCUUUUCUUGAGAUUAAUUUUGACUAGUUGCCUUAUACCAAAGGUUGGUCUGGCAUGUGCCAUAAUGCAUUAAUUGCUGAUAUUUAUGAGAGUAUUGACUGGUAUUAUGAUUAUUAAGAAAAGUUUGGCUAGAUUAGGGUCUAAAAUCAGCAAAAGUGGAGCAAGUGCUUAGGACGCAAGUUUAGUUUGAAAAGAAUUAACAGAAGGCCAAAUUGAAAAUGAUGAGAUACUCCGAUGGCUCAUAUUUGUUACUGUCAUAGUGACAAGUUGAGAGAUUAGUGAAAAAGUUUCUUCCCUACUUUGCCAGGCUGUUUUUAGAUGUUAUAAUGCCUGUUUCUUGUAAAGCUUGAUUUGUCGUUUACUUUCAAACAGGAAAAUGAAGGUAUCAUUUUUAUGUGAUCAAUACAUGUCUUUGAGACAUUCCUUCCUAUUAUUUAAUACAAUUUGUGAGGCUGAUAAUGCUAAGGGCAUAUGCAAAAAUCAUGGACCAAAUCUUUAGAAAGAUCUUCCAAGUGCUUGACAAAAAUUGUGGCCUCUAAUAGAAAAAGAAUGCUGAUGACAUAAAAUAGUUGGCUUAUUAUUUGAUGGCCUAUAUGUUUUUAGUGGUUAGUGCCACUGAGAACUGAAGUCCAGUGACCAUAUAUUUUGAUUUGUGGUAACCUGUAAUUGCUAUAGUGUAGAAAGAAAACGAAGAUAUGCUUUUUGUCCUAUUAACUCUCUUAGUGUGAUUUCAUUCUUUUAUUAAUAAUGCUGAAAUAGUCAUCAUUCAAUAGAAAUUUCGGUGCUGUCAUCAUGCUUAACUAUUUAUUGUUAAUGCUUUAUAGAUUGUAUCUACUAAAGGUGCAUAACAUUACUCUUGAUCAUUGGGACAUUAGUUCCAUAUUAUGCUAAAAUGUGGAAGUCCUUUAGAAAGAGCCAAGUUUUAGGUAAUUGAGAGAAAAAAGGUGACUGUUUGCCUUUUUCUCCAAUUAUAUAUACGGCGGAUAUCAGGGGAUUGUAAAGAAAAAAGAAAAAAAUAUUGUUUGACCAUGUAAAUGUGCCUGAUCGGUUUGUUGUCCAAUCCAUUUCCCGUUACUUGUUAAUUGGAAUAUGAUGUGACAGCUUCUUCAUGAGUAUGUGAAACUACAAUGCUUUUGCAGAUAAUGGUAGCUUUAUUCAUCUAGUAACAUGUAAAUAUGCAUCAGCCACUUCCCUCUGAAUGAUUUUUUGUUUUGCUUGCUUACAUUUCAAAUCAUCUCCAACUGAUUGUUCUGUCCCUUUAUUCAAUGUUACUUAUUGUUCUCUGUCUUGUAGUGUAGAUUGCUUUUAAAGUGAUUUGCUAUUUUAAAUUUAUGGGCUGGAACUCAGCUCACCUCGUGAAGGCUAAUCAAAAUUGUGUCAGUGUUGCUAGUUUUAUAUGUUGUUGAAAACUUUCUAUACUGUUCACAUAAUAUCUGCUUGUUCUCACAUAAAUUAAACAUAUUUAAGUAUUUCCAUGGUUUUACUUGUUUUUCUAGGUGCUUACUCCAAAUGUUCCAGAUAUAGUGGUCGUACCUCCAGAUGAUGAUCACUUACGACAUGUGAUGAACACAAUGGCAUUGUAUGUUCUUGAUGGUGGAUGUGCUUUCGAGCAAGCUGUAAUGGAAAGGGGCCGCGGAAAUCCACUUUUUAACUUCUUAUUUGAUCUUAGAUCAAAAGAGCAUACAUAUUAUAUCUGGAGGCUUUACUCCUUUGCCCAGGUUAUAUGCUUUUUGUUCUUCUUACCAAUACAUUUCUUGUUCACUGUUUUGCCUUUAGCUAGAAAUAUUCAUUCAUUUUGUUAAUUUGCCGUUAUUCAGGUAAUUUUAAUACCAAGAAAAGAAAAGUAGUCAUACAGUAGGUAAAGCCUUCAUGGAAGAAGAGGUAGCUGCACAUUCGUACUUUGUAGAGCUUCCUCAAAGUCUUCCUUAGUUUGUCUACUAGUGACAUAAAAUCCAUGGCUUGUAAAACAUGAAGAUCGAAUAAUUGUAUGCCAAAAUCUUCUCUACAUAAUUUACAAUUUAGCCAUGAUCAAAUCCCGUAGUGACGAAACAAUUCUGCAGAAUUUUUCUCAUUGUACAAUCCCCUUCAUUUCUUGGCGAUCUAAUGUGUCAGGGGUCUAAGGGAACAUUUCAGACUUCUGAUUUUGCGGACCUCUACAAUGAUGUUAUAAUGAGCCUUAGUGUCUUUUGAAUCUCCUACCUUGCUUGGGUUCCUCAUUAAACAACCGUCAAAAGUUAAUGCAUCCCUGAGAAUAUUAUUUGAUCAUUCUUCCACAUAUUAAAUCCAUAAGAUUUUGUGCCUGAAGGACAACACGAUAUCAGACAGCCCCACCCAAUUAAACUGUAACAUGGUCUACAAAAUUAAAAGGAUGUACAUUCAGCUCAAUUUCAGAUGGAGCCUCAAUCAGAAAGGCCCACCCAAUGUGCCCACAUCAUCCUGUUGUUCUCUGGCAUUGUCCCAUCAAAUUUAUCCCAUAAUACAAUGGCUGAUUGACGGGUUAGAAUGUCUUUUACAUCCUAUUUAUUGACAUGAAAAGCCUCAUAUUACAUCUUGAAUGAGGUUUAUGGAUGUGAACCAUGAAGUGACCCCAGAGCCCCAGCAUUAUACAAGGUUUGCAAGCUGAAGAUUGCUAAAUACGCUGAAAGCUGCCACAUAACAACCAGAAAGCUUUUGUAAAGGGAUUGGUCUCCAUUUAUGCCAUUAUGUUGUUCUAGAGUGUAGUUGUUUUGGAAUUUUGAAAAUGGAAAGGAUAUUGCCGAUCACCCUUCUGAGAAACGUGUAUUCUAUGGCAUUGUAGGGUGAUACGCUUCAGCGAUGGCGGACAGAGCCCUUCAUCAUGAUUACGGGCAGUGGAAGGUAAGCUAGAUUCUUAGGUUCUGUUUCCUAUUGUGGUUGUGUCUGCAUGACACAAACUUCAUCUAAGAUCAAAGUUUUGAUCUAUUAUGAUGUGCAAUCUGUCGGACAUCAUGGUUGCUUUCUAGUUCUGAGCUGAUUUUGGUACGCUGUUAUAUUUUUUCUUUUCUAAUGCAAACCUCUGUUGUUAACCUAGGUGGAUUCCACCUUCUUUGCCACCUAGUCGAAGCCCUGAGCAUGAAAAAGAGUCUACUUUUGCAGCUGGUAGAAGCAGGGUAAGCUGUCAUAUCAUAGCAGAUUAUAGCAAUUGUUUUCCCCUAUCCAUGAGUUACAAAUAAUAUAGUUCACAAUAAGUCCAGGCUUGCUUUAUUUCUCAUUAACGUGUGGCAAGAAUAAUUUUUCCUCCGAUGAAAUAAUUCCUCGAUGUGGUUCUAGCGUGUGGAAUUGGAGCGUACAUUGACAGAUGCCCAGCGAGAUGAAUUUGAGGACAUGUUGCGGUCCUUGACUUUAGAGAGGAGUCAGAUAAAAGAAACUAUGGGGUUUGUGUUGGAUAAUGCUGAUGCUGCUGGAGAGGUAAUGCUAACCUUGUAUUGUGGUUGAUACUAAGGAGUCGUCUUUUUCUGAUAGGUCUCUUUGAUGACUUUUUCUGGAGUUUUCCUAUGAGAUCCAAAUUUUAAAUCCUGCUUAACAUUAUCUAUAUUUUGUUUUGAAGGCUUCUCACUGCAGCCUUUGCACAAACUAAUAAGACCUUUAUCUUGCAUGAGCAGUAGGCUUAGCUCUAAAUGAAUGCUGAUAUUAUUUGCCUUUUUCACUGUCCUGCUUUUUGUUUCAGUAGCUCUGCAACUCCAUUCUUGUACUAACCCUUCGAUUUUUACUUGAUCUACUACAGAUAGUUGAGGUUCUUACCGAGUCUUUAACACUUAAAGAAACGCCUAUACCAACCAAGGUUGCAAGACUUAUGCUGGUAUCUGACAUUCUGCAUAACAGUAGUGCCCCAGUGAAGAAUGCUUCUGCAUAUCGUACUAAGUUUGAAGCAACCUUGCCUGACAUAAUGGAGAGCUUCAAUGAUUUGUAUCGCAGCAUCACUGGACGGAUCACUGCCGAAGCACUGAAGGUAACUCGAGACCUCCAUCAAGGCAUAAGUUUGUCAUUUUUGAUGUUGUCAUCACAUGUUGCAUGUUCCUUGUGUUGGCUGCAGGAAAGAGUUCUCAAGGUUAUUCAAGUAUGGGCAGACUGGUUUCUCUUUUCAGAUGCAUAUUUGAGUGGGCUGCGAGCCACUUUCCUUCGAUCAAGCAAUUCAGGUGUCAUCUCCUUCCAUUUGAUAUGUGGUGAUGCACCAGAGAUUGAAAAUAAAACUGGCCAUGAAGAUGCAACUUAUGAUGGGGGUAAGCCUAACCAAGAUGGUGCAUUGGCAAUGGGAAGGGAAGCAGCCAUGAAGGAGCUACUGUGCCUUCCUAUUGCUGAACUAGAAAGGCGCUGCAGGCACAAUGGUCUGUCACAGUGUGGUGGAAGAGAGAUGAUGGUUGCCAGAUUGCUUAAUCUGGAAGAAGCAGAAAGGGGGAGAGGCUAUGAACAAGAUGAUGAUCGAACAUAUGGACCAAGCUAUUCAUAUAAAUAUGCUAGGGAUGAGGGUGUCGGGAAUGCCCAUAAUGCUGGACAUGGAGAACCUAAACUUGAUACAGAAUUAUUGGGCCCGACUGGAUCAAAUCAGUAUGGCAACGAAGUGAUUGGGAAAGACUCUGUUUCACCUGAGCAUGAAACAGUUACAAACGAGAGAGGAAAAUCUGAUCCAGUUUUACUAGUUUCUAAAUGGAGCCGAGAGGAUGAUGGUAGUGAUGAUGAAGAUAAGAAAAGUCCUUCAGGUUUGGGCUUAAGUUAUUCGUCUGGGAGUGAAGAUGCUGGUAAUCUUGGAAAGGCUGCUGAGUUGGAUGUCGUUGCUGCUGGCAUUCAUACUCACCCUGACAAUGUUAUGAAUGAAGAAUAUAGGUCGGAACAUGCUUAUAUAAGAAAAUUACCUAGCUUCUUGUAGUUUGUUUUGCUAAAAUGAUAAUCUUCAGUCCAUAAUUGAUUAACCGUUAUUUCUCCUGCAGACAGAAACUAAGGCGUUUAGAGGUCGCUGUAAUGGAAUACCGUGAAUCUCUUGAAGAACAGGGCUGUCGAGGUAAAGAUGAAAUCGAAAAGAAGGUAGCGAUUCAUCGAAGACGACUUCAAUCUGAAUUUGGUUUAUCAGAUUCUGCCGAUGAUUCAUGGAGCAACAGGAAUCCAUCUGGUCAGUGAGAAAAAAAAAAGCUAUUUUUGCCAUUAUAUUCUUAUGUCUAUCUAUAUACAUGGAAUAUACUGAAGAAGGUAUAUUGCAAUUUCUGAUCAUGUGAUGUCACAUUAUGUUGAUUAGUAAAAAGUACAAAAAUAUUAAUAGAAGUAGAAUUUAAUAAAUUUUUAUCUUGAUCCGUGUUUUUGAUUUGUGACUGUUAAUUCUAGAAAAAUUAUUUAUGCCAGUUUAUACAUUAGACUCCUUUUUUUAAUGGUGUUGCAGCAUCCAUGUGCAUUAGAUUCCUGUUGUUUACUCAAACUACUGAACUUGCAGAAAGGAUAUCUAUGGAGAGGAAGGAGAGACAUGGUGUCGGUGAUACUGCAAGGAAGCGCCGUCGCAGCCAUAGUCAAAGCCGCAGUCCACAGAGGAAGUCAUCAGACAGGGAUCGAGAUAGGCACCGUGACAGAGACAGGUCACAGGAGGAGAGUGGGAGAGAGCGGUCACGUGAGAAGAGUGGGAGUAGAGAGAAGGACAAUCAUCAUGACAAGGAUAGGACGAGAGAGAGGGACAAGGAUCGGAGGAAAAAUGCGAAAUAAACCACUGCAGGGAGUAUGAAUUGGCUCUAAGUACAGGAUUGCUUCUCAUGUGGCUCACAGAUGUUUGCGCCAGAGACCAGUGAAGGAGAGUGCCUGAAAAUGCAAUCUUUUUGAAGUCUAUAGUUUAUUGAUUGGGUUUGGCUCAAGAAAGGUGAAGGCCGCCUUCAGUACAUUCACAUGAAAGGAGAAGCACCUAAACUGAGUUGGAUAUUGUAAAAUCUUAAUUUAGAUGCGGGUUCUGUUUUAAACAAACUGAGUUUUUCUCAGCUGAGAAAGGUGUAAGGUUUGUAGGUCCUAUGAGAUUGUAAGAUAUUUCUGCUGCUCAAAUGUUGGUGCAAGUGAAAAGAAAUAUAUAUUAUCUAAAGCAAAACCGUUGUUGCCUUUCACGAAGGUAAAGAUCAGAAAGCGGCCACCUCAUGAGACUUAGCUGUAGUAAAAAUUCUCCUCAAAAUACCGUAAAUUCUAACAUUACUUGUACGCAUGCAAAUCUAAAACAAAAUUUACUUUUGGGUAAACUUGCAUAUGAAGUAUAUACAUUUACUUGAUGUUGCUAGAAGCAGGGAUUAUACCUCGUCAAAUUUGUAUCUUUUUGUCAUCCAGCUGUUGAAAUGGUAUUAUCUUCUUUUAUGGUCCUCAUACAUUGAUGUGAUGUGCAUGGACGGAAGUGUGGGAGGUUAGAUUUUUAAGCUUGAUAGGUCCCACAGCGGCUGCAGAUGCGGGGCAACAUCUUUAUGCGUUGGCCAAACUCAAACUAGGAAGCUAUAAGUGGAACCGCCUCGUGAGGUUUAGUACUAGGCUCGGUAUCUGGGAUGAAAUUAUGAUACGAGCGAUUUCUGUGCGAAGGAUGCGAUCAGAGUUUACCGCAGAAAUCAAACGAGUUUGUUGUUAAUGAGCAACUUCAUAUUAACAUGCUUCGCUGGAUUAGUAUGAGCUUGAGCAAGAAAUAGAAAUAAGUCAAGCUUGACAUGCAGGUUACUCAUGCUUGGCCUGAUUAGAUAUUGUCUACAUGAUUGCUUAUAAAGAGUUUUAAUAUUCAUCUAAUUGUAUAUUACGAUAAAUGUAUCUUAGUCACCAGUUGUCAUAAUGUAACAUCUAUGGGUUUUAUUUACUAGUAUACCUUCGAAUUAAGAAAUCUUAGUAAAGAUUGGUGAUUAAAAAAAUAUGUAUGUGAUAGCCUUUAGGGACCUUGGCUAGUGAAGAUUAGUGUACCUCUUUGGCUGGGAGAAGAAGUUGAGCCUGAGAUUGUUCAGCUAAAUUGAAUAACGUUCUAACUACGCUUUUUUUUUUCCAAAUUUUAUAUUAACAGUCGAAAAUCCAAUGUCAAAAUGUUUACCUGCUAGCGAAAGCUGUUAGGUUGGGAAUAAACAAUUAUAAAAAUGUCGCAUCAUUUUAUUUCCUUUGUUAUUUUGUAACUUUUUAAUUCAAAUUCCUUCGACGAAUUCUGGAUGUUGUUUUCGAAUAAUAACCACUUCUUGAGCUGUUCCUAACUGUGAAAUCUGUGACAUGAUUCGGAUAGGCUACGUUUUCUUUUCUUUUUUUCCCGGGAAAAAGCGGAUAAGAUAUGUUAAGGAUAACAAGACGCCAAAAGUAUGAGAUCUUAACGGUAACUAAAAGCUCACCCAAGACUCUCUCUCUCUCUCUCUCAUUUCCUAUUACUCCAUCCAUCCCUAUCCUAAUGCUAUCUGGUCGAGACCCUUCAACUGCUACCGUUAUUCGAUGAUCAGAUUAGAUGAUAUAUCAUUCCUCGCAGGAAUCCAUAACAAAUAUGCUCAUGGAAAGUCCAUCCGUUGUUUAGGAAGGGAAACACCUACCAAAUAUUUCUCAACAAGCAGCCUAGAUUCGCCAGCUAACGAAGUUUCAAACCGUUUCAAAAAAAAAAUACCAAUCCGAUACCCACUUCAUAUCCCCCAAUAAAAUCCCCUCCACUACUUCACGUUCCAAAGCCCUCGCUUCUUCCCUCAUAGCUCGCCUCCUCGACUCUCUCUCUCUCUUUCUCUCUCUCAAAUAAGCAAGGCUACUCGUGGUGUUGCUGAAGCCUUAGAUCUGUUCCAAUGGCAGGCGCUAUGAAUGUAGCCACGGGUGAAGGGAAGGAGUACCCUGGGAAGAUUACUGUCUUUGUCUUCAUGAGCUGUCUCGUGGCCUCCUCCGGAGGCCUCAUCUUCGGCUACGAUAUUGGAAUUUCAGGUAAAUCUUGCAAGAGCUUUACUCUCUCAACAUCUUCUCUUUUAAUAUCUCAUUCCAAUAUAUUUCAUGGUCUUAUAAGUUGAUAUUUUCUUUUCUACUGUCAAUAGGUGGAGUGACAUCAAUGGAUUCAUUCUUGAGCAAGUUCUUUCCAUCUGUCUAUAGAAAACAGGCCGAAGACUCGAGUACCAACCAAUACUGUGAGUUCAACAGCCAGCUGCUUACCGCUUUCACAUCAUCACUUUACUUGGCAGCUUUACUUGCUUCAUUCUUUGCUUCAACCACAACAAGAGUGUUUGGAAGGAAGUGGUCGAUGCUGGGAGGAGGGCUUACCUUCCUUGUUGGUGCUGUCCUUAAUGGCGCGGCCAAGGAUGUCGCCAUGCUGAUCAUCGGCCGCAUCUUGCUCGGUAUUGGGGUUGGAUUUGCCAACCAGGUCAGAGACAUAACCAUUAAAGAGAAAGCAAUGAACACCUUCUUUUUUUUUUACCCUUAGAAAAACAAAAUACAACAAACACUUGAGGAUUCCACAUGCAUUAGGGUGGGGUCCCAACUCCUCAUCUAUUAUUUGAAUUGGUUUCAUACCUUUUCUUUGUUUUGAAUUGGCAAGUGGCAAAUGAAAUUAAGAAAGAAAGAUUAUAGCAACAUUACAUCAGUCUUGAUUAAUUCUUUCAUAUCCAUGUGAAAUGGUUUUAUUUUCUCCUGUUUCUUAACUAAAUGUGGAUAACUUAAUCCUAAAGAGAGUUCCUAAGGACCUGCCAAAUAUCAAGUAUGAUGAUAAAGCGAGAUCAAGAGAUCGAGGAGUGAUCCCACUCAUAAUUUUGUUCUUUUUAUGACUUUUUUUUUGGGGGGGGGGGGGGGGGGGGGGAAGCUUUUACUACUUUUCAUUAGCCAUAUACGAUAACUUAUGCAUUGUAUUAUAUUCUAUCACUAGAUGGCUGCAUUCUUUAAUUCCUUAAUCAAGUAAGACUGCAAUUUUAUGCCUCGAUUUUUGUUUUUUCCACAUGCUUGGCGGCUGCUGCUACUACUACUAUGUGAAUAAAUUAAAUAACAUUGCAAGUUUUACCAAAUUACGUGCAUGCGUGAUAUAUUUUUCGUAAUGAGAUUUUAAUAUUCUAAAAUGGAACUCGUACGUGCAUCAUCAUUUAUGGACUUUUUAAGCUCAUAUAUAUUACACCGCUAAUAUAAUACUGGAUUCUUCUGCUAAGAUUUUGAGUUUAAUAUUCCAGCAGUUCGUGCUCACAUUAUAACUUUAUAUCAAAAGGCUAGCUACCAUCUUUGAUCUAAAAAUCUUGUCCUACCAUUUGAUUUCCUACUACAGGCGGUACCGCUCUAUCUGUCUGAGAUGGCACCAGCAAGGCUACGCGGAAUGCUUAACAUCGGCUUUCAGCUUAUGAUCACGAUCGGCAUCUUCGUAGCAAACCUCGUCAACUACGGCACCUCCAAGAUCAAGGGUGGGUGGGGUUGGCGCGUCAGCUUGGCGCUCGCCGCCGUCCCUGCGGCCACCAUCGCCAUCGGCUCCUUGCUGCUACCCGACACUCCCAGCUCCCUCAUCGACCGCGGGCACAGCGAGAAGGCCAGGGCCAUGCUCCGUAGGAUUCGCGGCACCAGCGACGUCGAUGCGGAAUACGACGAUCUCGUGUCGGCGAGCGAGGAGUCGAAGCUGAUAAAGCACCCAUGGGCCACCUUGCGGGAGAGGAGAUACCGUCCCCACGUCACCAUGGCCAUUCUCAUUCCCUUCUUCCAGCAGCUGACGGGGAUGAAUAUUAUCAUGUUUUACGCCCCAGUUCUCUUCAAGACCAUCGGCUUCGGUGCUGAUGCCUCUCUUAUGUCUUCCGUCAUCAUUGGCCUUGUGAACGCCUUCGCCACCCUCGUCUCCAUCUUCAGCGUCGACAGGGCUGGUCGCCGUGUCCUCUUCAUCGAGGGUGGUAUUCAGAUGACCGUCUGUCAGGUAUUCUCUACUGCUUCGAUCUUCUCUACCGUAUGCUCUAACAAAUUUAAUUACAAAGAUUCGAGCUCACAUAUAUAUAUAUAUAAUUAUAUUCAUAUAAUAAUCACACUGGAAUGGAGGCGUGCCUGUACUUUGAGUUUGGUUGUAAGACAAGUCGUAUGAGUAUCUGUUGAUAGUUUUUUAUGAUGGCGCCAAUUCUAGUUAUUAUACAUUAAGUCAUGUAAAUUUUUACAUAAAUAGUGAUAGAUAGGAAUAUAUGAUUUUUAGAAGGGAGCACACUGUUUUUAUUCUCUUGUUGUUUCUAAAGAUAAAAGGCGCUUAUGAUGGAUAGUUAAUGUUUGAAGUGAAAUUCUAACCUGAUCUGUAUUUUUGGGUGCAACAUAACAUCUUCUUUUUUGUGGUUUAGAUUAUUAUCGGAGUUCUCAUUGGGAUCAAAUUCGGAACCAGCGGCGUUGCAGUUCUAUCUAAAGGAUAUGCCGCUGCUGUGGUACUCUUCAUUUGUUUCUUUGUCUGUGGGUAUGCCUGGUCUUGGGGCCCAUUGGGAUGGCUCGUUCCUAGCGAGAUUUUUCCUCUGGAGAUUCGUUCCGCAGCACAGAGUAUCACCGUGGCCGUCAACAUGUUAUUCACCUUCGUCAUCGCCCAGAUCUUCCUCCCUCUACUUUGCCACAUGAAGUUUGGUCUCUUCUUUUUCUUUGCCGGCUGGGAACUGCUUAUGACCAUCUUUAUUGCUAUGUUCCUACCUGAAACCAAGAACGUGCCUAUCGAGGAGAUGAACACCGUUUGGAAGAAGCAUUGGUACUGGUCCAAGUAUGUCGACGAGGCAUCAAAGGGCUCUUCUGUGGAAUGAUCAUUCUAUAUAGUAGAUUAACCUGUGGUCGCAUUUGAACCUGGGAAAAUACCAGUCAGAAGUCUUCAUUGGGUCUCUCAGUAAUUCAUUAAGGUUGUAGGGAUUGCUGAUUUCUUUUUCCUUUUUCUUUAUUGAUGUCAGAUCGAUAAAUUUUUAGGUUUUUCGUGGACCAUGAUUGUUUAUAGGUUAGCAUUCAGAGUAUUUGUGUAAUGAUGGCCAAUUGUAACGGCCAUCUGUUUUUAAUCUCUAAUUGAUAUUAUUUCAAGGUCGAUUAGUUGAUUGUUGACGAACAUUGCCUCGUUUGAUAGGACAGAACAAGGUCGUGUAAAUGAAAACUGACAUGAACAUGGGUACAAGAAUUGUGAUCAAGAACAACUAGAACUAAUAUAUCUAACUUCUCCAUUUAGCUUCCAUCAGUUUUAAAUGUUUAUUUAAACAAUCAGUUAAUUUGUAUCUAUUGAACAAUUAUAUAAUCCUAUUAAAUCAUGCCCAAGAAGAAUCUUAAAUCUUAGCCUCCUCCACUCUCUUCUCCUUCUACUCGUCUUCAUUCCUUGUUAUUCCAUUUUGCUUGAUGCACAUUUCUUCUUAUUUCAUUUCGUUCUCUCUUGAAUCUGGCUUUGAUCAUGAAGAAACGUAAAUCAUGUCCUAACCUCUGGAAGAUGAUAAUGGUCUACCAAUGUGAACUUGUAUAGUUUUUAGUUUUCCAGGACUCCCAUCCAUGGGUUAACUCACCCCAUUUUGAUCUCAGAUUUUGCUUAAAAAAUGGAGGGAAAUAAAUAUAAUAGCCAAUGAUGCAACAGUUAAUUACCUCACCUCUCCUGAUUCUUUACAAACACGUUUUUGGAUGAAUAUUUUCCUCCUUGCAGCGGAGUGGCUUUGUCUUCCAUUAACGCAUGCUCCACAAGUGGUUAUGCUGACGAUAUGUAGCUGUUUGCAAUGCCUCAGACUAUGGAUGCACAUUUCGUUUAUUAGAAAUUCCACCAAGAUAGUUUGAAACAGAAAUAGUUGUGAGAAAUGAGAGAGAUCGAUCUGCAGUAUUACAGCUGCAAUACUGGAUUUUACAAAUUUGACCAGAUUUUCCCUUUCUUUUUCUUGAAGAACAAGCUCCUUUUCCAAAGUUUCAAGACGACCAAAGUGAAACCUUAAGAGUAUCAUUUAAAUCAUAGCCGAAACUUCGUAAGACCUCAAAGUAUUGCGACUUCAUAAGAAUUGACCAUCAUGCUGCACAUGAUCAAAAGGGCCAGUUUCCUGAUUCAAAUAGUGGUGGUUGUUAACAAUAUAUAACAGUAAACCAAAUACUCUGAAUUUAAACAGUAGUCUCACCACCUCGAAACCCAAGGUGAGGCUCCACACUAAUUAUUGCCUCUAAUCACAUUCACUAGGGCUAUUUCCUAAAGCCAUGGUUAAUUGUAAGAGAUCGUCUAGGGCCAGCUCCAUGAAUAACAUAAAGGGUUUCGCUUUGAAACUGAGCACAGAGUUUAAUCCUGACAAAAUAUCUAGAUCCCAGUCAUGUUAUGGAACUAUUAUGACUGAGCUUAGAUAAAUCUCAUGUUUUGACUUCAUCGAAACGGCGAUUGAGUUCCUGAUGUUGAAUUUUAUGCUAAUAAAUUUAAACAUCCAGUAAAUCCAGGCCCAACCCUAGAUAUUGCAAUUUUAUCAGGUUCUGCUAACCAUAGAAACGUUUGAUUUCAAAAGAUUUCAAAAGAUGCUUGGUAAUAUGGAAAACUGAGAAAGAAUAUGACCAAAACCAAAAUGUACAUCCAAUUAGUUGCACAUACAAGAACAUGAGUUUACAUGCCUACUGAGAAAAUGGUUAGCCGUACAGUUUAAAAUAUUGAUACUGCAGUUCAAAUCCAAAGAUCAUAUGGUCAUUGGCAGAAUUUUUUGAGUUGCAACCUGAGGCUUGAUCUCCCACGAAGCCAUUUGAUCAGCCUCUUCCGGCAGGAUGAAAGGCAAUGAGAUCUCCCGGAUCAUUAGGUCCCCACAGAAUGGGCACUCACUGGCUAUAGCAUCAUCCAGCUGUGACCGCAGCUGUCCCAGAAAUUCAAGUAUAUGCAUGUCAAUGUAGCAAUAACUCAACAAUCACCACGAAUAUUACAUAAGGUUCAUAUCAUACUUACCUUAUCUAUAGGCGUCGUGCUCGUGAUGGAUUCACCAUUUGCACUGCCAUUUGAUUCCUUUGUUGCUUUAUCCCCAAGUAAACUGAGCUGCUUCUGAAGGUCCAGUAUAUAUUCAGCCUACAUCAAACAUAUAAUAAAUGGUUUAAAGAAAGCAGGAUUAUUGUUGCAUUCUUAUUCUUCAGAGAAUGUUGUAUCUCCACCAGGGAGAAAAAAGCAUGCGAUGCAAGAAAACUAGGUCGUCUAUUUUUCAGAAAAAAUGAAUUAGAUGAGGCUGAACAGAAUAAACACAGAUGGUUUAGAUAUUUGUAAUACAAGCGCAAAAUUUGAAAGACUUUUACAGGGAAUUAUUAUUAUUACAGUAAUUGCUGGCAGAGAUGAUAACUAUGCUCAGAUUGGUAGACCAGAAAUAAUUACUGAAAUAACAGAGCGACCCAAGAAAGGAAGUAUCAGAAGUCUGCAGCCAUUUAUUUGAACAUUUAUUUGUACAUGAGGAACACUGGAAGUACCUUUAUUUGUACAAAAACUGAAGUCUGCAGCCAUCUUAUUAAUGCCCGGUUACUGCAUCAUUUUAGGGAGGGUAAAAAUGUCUUGCCAAUUGUAUGGGGGACAUUUGUGAAAUUGCUUUGCGGAAGAUGUUCACUCACGUAACAGUGGCAUCUUCAAUGAAUUUUAUUCAAUAUUUUCUAAAUUAAUAUUUGUUGCCAUACAAGAUUCAGGAUAUCCAACCUAUUACUAAUAAGGAUCUUUUCCAAAAGAUUUAUAGUAACAUAAUUUUUUAAGAACUUUCACAAGAAAACAUCAUAACUUAGUAAUCAUAGAAACAGAACCAAGGCAACUUGUGACUUACCUGAGUCCGGCUUGUGUAUUGAGUAACAUGAGCAAUCAGACAUCGAGCAUGAAAGGUAUGCCCACAAGGAAAGACAUAAAAUGGGGCCAUAGGUCCAACUGAUGUAUAACCUCUUGCUAAUCGUUGUGUUGCACCAGAUGUUAAUAUUCUGCGUUUGCAACCCUAAUAACAUAAUAGAGAAAAAGGGUAGGUAAGAACAUCGCAAAUGCAUCAGGAUUGUCUUGGUGCAAGAAAAUAAUGAUUUUUUGAACUUAAAAGUUAAAACAAAGCAUAAGCUUUCAACAUACAUGCCUAUAAAAUAUAAUUUCAAGGAAGAAAAAAAAAAUCCAAAUAAACUUUGAUGGCAGAAAGCAAAUCCUUUUUCCCAUAUCAAUGAGAAUUGACCAUAUCUUAAGUGGGCAUCAGGAAACCAUGUAAUCAAUCAAGCACAAAAUGCAAAAGCAAUAAGCCACAGUGAUUAGGUCUUAACAUGAAAUACAUAAUCAGGAUUAGUUUCAACCGAAAUUUGUUGUACUAGUACCAGAUACUAUAUCAGUACCUUACUAAUAUAGUACGGACUGUUAUAGUCACUCCCAUACUGAUAUAUGGCAUGCUGCUAGAGAUGAGAUAGAAGCAGUACCAUGUGUGAGUACGGUACUGUAAUGAACUCCUGUAUUGUACCGAUACCUUACCAGUAGGCCGUAUGGGUUGGUCGGUACCAUGAAAUGCCGUACCGGCCCGUACCGGCCGGUACGUACCGGUCCGGUCCUAGACCGGUACCGGAACCACAAGAAAACCGGUAUCGCACCGGUACUGUACCGAUACCGGCCGGUACGGAGCCCGUACCGGUUUUCUUGUGCGAACCGGCCGGUUCGCACCGGUACGAUUUUUUUUUAUAAUGAACCACAGCGCGGGGCGCUGUGGUUUUUGGCUCGCGGUACCGGCCGGUACUGUACCGAUACCGGCCGGUACGUACCGGACCGGACCGGUACCGUACCGGUCCGGCCCGCCACCGGUACGCCGACCGGUACCGGUACGGCGGACCUUGGUCGGUACAGUAAACCAGGAUUUCAAAUUUUCCAUUUAUGUUGCAAUGUCCUUGGCUAGCCAUCAAGACUAGCCUUCAAAAUUGCUGAACUUUCUGUUAGUUUAGGUACAACUAAUAUGUUUAAGUGAACACAGACAUCUGAAACAAUAGUUACUAUUUAAGACAAAAUAAUCACAACAGUGGGAGGAUUUUUUUCCAAAUAAAAGAACAUUUUGUAGGAUAAAAAGGAAAACAAUGUCAAUUCAUCCCAUGGACCAGUACCCCGCAUUCUGCAUCACGAUCAAUAACAGCAAAUCUUUGAGCAAGGGCACUGAUAUCAUUCCUUAUGUUGUCAGCCCCAUGUGUAGCAUCGUUCAUCUCCUGUUUCAGUUGCUCGAUCUGCCUGUUGUAGUCCUCCAAGGAUGUGCAGAUAGCUUCCUAUAAUAUACCAAAUAAAUUUUAAAUGUUAGGUUGCUAAGUAACAAUUAGCAAGUCCUCACAAUAUAUAAGAAUUUUUCCACAAAAAAAGCAAGUAUUUGAGUCUUAAAUCUUAUGUAUUGCAUUAAACCUGCACGAAGUAGACUACAAAGACUUCAAACUCAUAAAUACAUAAUGCUUGAUUUACAUAUUUUAUAUAGGAAAGCAGAGUCAGUCAAGGAUAGGACCAGCUGAGGUUUCACUGGCUUCCAGUGCAGCAUGAUCCUGUUAAACAUGUCUAUUCCAUGUGCAGAUAUACAGUGGAGUAACUUGCAAAUUCAAUUAUUCUACUAUGGAAACUUAAGCAGCAAGCAUGCUUGCAUAUAACACAAAAUACCGUGAACAGAAAUGCUGUAAACAAUAUACUGUUGCAGGAAAAAACCUUGGACAUUAAUGUCGCAAAGGACUUUAACUGGGUGAUUCCAGGUUACAGGCCACUUAGGCCCGAGUUUUACAGGGGUACAGAUUCCAAAACUAUCCAUGACAAUGUUAACAGAAUUAAAAGAGCUAUUUUGGAAUAAAUUGCCAUGUUAAUUAAAAGAAUAAAUUUUCAUCUAUUUAUUUAUGCAGAAAUGAUGUGGAGCAUACAUUUUGGUAUAUUUUGGAUAUUUAGUCAUUAAAUUGCUUUUUAAAUGGAUUUACAGUCAAGGUUUGAUCAGAGUUUUUUUUUUGAAAUUCUUAAAAGAUUAUAAUUAGAUUUCCUCUAAAAAUGCAGCUGUAACAUGCUUUCUUUUUUUCCUCAUCAUGUCUAAAGUAGCAAAUAAUCAUCGGAAAUUAGAAUGCUUGAAGCACAGUCAAAAGAAUUUUACUUUGAAGUCAUCAAUCAGUGCAAAGUCUGGAAAGAAUGGCAAAAUGUCCUCAAUCUUCAGCAGGCCAUCAGUUUCCUUGAGAAAUGCUAUUGCCUUCCUUAUAUUCUCCCUUUUAACUCCUUUUUCUUGCUCAAUUACAUGCUUUGCCACCAUAAGCCAUAGCUUCUUCCUUAGAUCCUCAUCAUCUUCAACCUUGUCUGCUUCCGCCAUAGCAAGUUCUGGGUCUACCUAGUAGAAAGUCAUCCAUUCAAACAUAAUUAAUAUCUAGGAGGAAGCAUAAAAUCUUAUAAUGCCGUCCACAAAAUAAGUCAUCACAGUGCUGCCUCAAACAAUGAUAAUGCAGUUUCAAAACUUACAAGAAACAUAUAAUAUCAGCAAGGACAAGUACAAUAGCAUCAGAAACAUGUCAGUGAUUUUUACUGCAAGACUUCUUUGUUCUCAUGCAUAAUAUACAUACACAACUAUCAUCCUCUAUAACCUAAACCAGAAAGUAGUUAGUACUAGAUAUAUUGCAUGAUUUAAUAAGCAGUGUCAAAAAAAUCUGAAAAGUAGUGAACCAGAGAAAACUAAUCAGUAGAAUCAUAUUUUUUUUUCCAGUUACCAUAGAGCAUCCCCAGGUCCCGAAAUCUAUUAAGUGCAUCAAAUUAAUAAAAAGAUUAUGGCCUAUGUAAAAGGCAAUAUUAAUAAGUGCACCAAAUCACAGUUACCUUCUACUAUAAUUAGUUAGAGGAUGCGGAUGAGUAUCUAGAUCCAGGUCCCAUAAUCUAGGCUAGACCAACCAGCUUAAAAGGUCUAGCCUAUGAAAUGGGUUAGAGAUUUGAGAUUAGGGAUACACGUUCGGUAUAGCUCAGUACUCACAAAUACUAUUACUCUUGCAACCUAAUCAGUUUUUUGCUCUAAAGACUGAUUCGUUCUAAUUUCUAGGUUAAUUAAUAAACACUUUUUAGUUCUGAAGAAUUCUCUAGCACAAGAUCUGAUUUUUAGCUCAGUAAAAUAUUAGAAACCAAUCCGAUUAUAGUAAAGAUAUAUAACAAAACCCGCAGUCCAGAUGCGGCUCCUAUCAAAUUAAUUUUCAAAAACAAAUGAGGGUUGGUACCAAGGACCUAGAUUCAAGUCCUGCCCUCACUCGGAUUUCAGCUGGAAUUUCUCCAUCCUAGUUCUAAAACAAAUCAAAAACAAUUAAAUAAUAUAAUCACAUUUGAAACACAAAUUACUAAUAAUAAUAAUCCACAAUCAGAAUGAAGAAAUCUGAAUAAAUAGUGGGACGCACUUGAAUGAAAGGAAGUAUGAAUCUAAAUUAAAUAGUAAAACAACUAGUCUAGGGCAUGCGCGGUUGCAUUACAUUUGUAGUCAAGGCUCAUAAAAAGAAUACCAUUUGGAAAAUGAAUGACAAAAGCGGCCGCAUGUGAUCAAAUAUUUCAGUAAACCAUAUUUCUGUAUCAGCCCUAGAAGCCCAUCAAGUAGGCUACAAGGAUUCCAAAAGAGACUAUGAUUCACAAAUAUGGAUGAUCUAGCAGUGGAGGGGGGCAAGCGAGAGAGGAAAGGAAGAAAGGACAAGAUCAAGAGAAAAGACAUGGCAGAUAAAAAGAAAAGGAUGUGCAAAAGUGACCAAGGUAGUGACAGGGAUUUGAGUACUUUGUUCUGUGCUUGUGUUGGUCAAGCCCUAGCAUAAUAUGUAUUAUGCCAUGUGGAGCUGUCUAGUCACAUGCUCAACCACGUUUUAAGGCUCAUGAAAACCAAUUCUGGCCCCCAACGGUCAAUACUAGUGUGUGCCAGAUCAUCAAUGAUUAAUAUGGACUGGCAGGAACUAGCAUAUACAAUAUAGAGGUACAUAUCCUUGUCUCGCACUGAUACAUUAUUGGCAUGAUAUGUAUAUGGCAUGGAACAACAUGGUACAUCACCAACAGCCAAGAAAGGAAAAACUAAAAGGGGAAGCCCAGGUGAAGAUUGCCGUUACAGGAACCUUCAACUGGUAAGAAUCCCCAGCCACCCUUCAAUCUCUUGGAUUUCCAUAUCUCCUUUUUCUAUUAACCUAGGGACAUCAAAUAAGAUGCCAAAUCACUCAAGUUGUCAUGUGACAGGCAUGUGACUAAUUAAGUAGGUUGAAACACUCCCAUACGAAAGGUGAAAAUAAGCCAAACUAAAUGAAAACAUAUCAAACAAAUGCCCUAGAAUAUAUUGGUCAAAAUAGUAUUAAAGACAUUUAAAUAUACCAUGCUGUUAUCACAUGUGAUGCAGUUAAUACUAGAAUAUCUGCUAACCGAUGCAUGUUUUAUGUUGGUAAUCUUUCCUGAAAUAUUCAGGAAAGACACCGAAUAAUGCAGUGACAUUUAUAUCCGGCAGAUAUUAUUCAAAUUACUACAUAAGAGAAUUACAUUGAAGUGAUAAAGAAUUUUAUAAAGAAAAAAAAUCAUCAAUCAUUUUUACCUGCAAUGCAAGGGCGACAGCUUCUUCAUGCAUGGACAUCAUGCUGUAUAUAUGAACACAAGCACGCAUACGUUUUUCCUUGAGGCACAGUCGCAAUGCAUAUUUGGGAUCAUAAAAGAACUCAGGGCCACUAGUUCGUCCUUUACCAAACUUGCAUUGUAAAAAACGCAAUAGAGAACUCUCAUCUUCCUGAACAUAAUAUCACAAAAUAAUUGCUGUUAUAUAGUGAAGAUGAUUACUGGGCAUCCAUUUGUACACCAAAACACGCAAUACUAUAGUGAUAUCAGACAUGAAAUAGCUUUGCUGUAUCGUGUUUUCAACAUUAAAUAAUGCACAGCAAUUUUUCUGAAAUAGCUUUGCUCACAGCUAAACAUUAAGAUGCUUGAAGAGCAAUCAAAAUUGCAUCUGCAUGUAUGAAACAUAUAAGAUCACAAGCACUUCACAGGUCAGAUGCCUAAAACAUGAAUUCUUAACUAGACAUACUAAAACACAA
rnacentral:lncRNA from 1 species